UAUGUAGGGGGCGAGCGUUGUCCGGAUUUAUUGGGCGUAAAGAGCGUGUAGGCGGCUUUGCAAGUCCGUUGUGAAAACUCGAGGCUCAACCUCGAGACGCCGGUGGAAACUGCAAAGCUAGAGUCCGGAAGAGGAGAGUGGAAUUCCUGGUGUAGCGGUGAAAUGCGCAGAUAUCAGGAAGAACACCCGUGGCGAAGGCGGCUCUCUGGGACGGUACUGACGCUGAGACGCGAAAGCGUGGGGAGCGAACAGG
rnacentral:rRNA from 1 species